rnacentral:tRNA from 1 species
GGAGGAGUACCGAAGUGGACGUACCGGGCCCGACUCGAAAUCGGGUUGUCCGGUGAUGAGCCGGGCACGUGGGUUCGAAUCCCACCUCCUCCGCCA